CGGGUGAGUAACGCGUGAGGAACCUGCCUCAAAGAGGGGGACAACAGUUGGAAACGACUGCUAAUACCGCAUAAGCCCACGGCUCGGCAUCGAGCAGAGGGAAAAGGAGCAAUCCGCUUUGAGAUGGCCUCGCGUCCGAUUAGCUAGUUGGUGAGGUAACGGCCCAGCAAGGCGACGAUCGGUAGCCGGACUGGGAGGUUGAACGGCCACAUUGGGACUGAGACACGGCCCAG
rnacentral:rRNA from 1 species